rnacentral:misc_RNA from 1 species
GAUGAAGAACGUAGCGAAAUGCGAUAAGUAAUGUGAAUUGCAGAAUUCAGUGAAUCAUCGAAUCUUUGAACGCACAUUGCGCCCUCUGGUAUUCCGGGGGGCAUGCCUGUCCGAGCGUCAUUGCAAACCCUCAAGCCCGGCUUGUCUGAUGGGUCCCGCGUCCGCCUCUUAGGGGGCGGACGGGCCCGAAACGCAGUGGCGGCGUCGCGGUAAUCCGAUCAGCCAGAGCGUAUGGGGACAUCUCGUCACACGCUUUAGGCGCGGCCCGGCGCCCGCCGAGACCAAAUCUCACACCCAAGGUUUGACCUCGGAUCAGGUAGGGAUACCCGCUGAACUUAAGCAUAUCAAUAAGCGGAGGA